AUGAACGCUAGCUACAGGCUUAACACAUGCAAGUCGAGGGGCAGCAUGUCGGUUGCUUGCAACCGAUGAUGGCGACCGGCGCACGGGUGAGUAACGCGUAUCCAACCUACCCUUGUCCAUCGGAUAACCCGUCGAAAGGCGGCCUAACACGAUAUGCGGUUCACAGCAGGCAUCUAACGUGAACGAAAUGUGAAGGAGAAGGAUGGGGAUGCGUCUGAUUAGCUUGUUGGCGGGGUAACGGCCCACCAAGGCUACGAUCAGUAGGGGUUCUGAGAGGAAGGUCCCCCACAUUGGAACUGAGACACGGUCCAAACUCCUACGGGAGGCAGCAGUGAGGAAUAUUGGUCAAUGGACGCAAGUCUGAACCAGCCAAGUAGCGUGCAGGACGACGGCCCUCUGGGUUGUAAACUGCUUUUAGUUGGGAAUAAAGUGCACCACGUGUGGUGUUUUGUAUGUACCAUCAGAAAAAGGACCGGCUAAUUCCGUGCCAGCAGCCGCGGUAAUACGGAAGGUCCAGGCGUUAUCCGGAUUUAUUGGGUUUAAAGGGAGCGCAGGCGGACCUUUAAGUCAGCUGUGAAAUACGGCGGCUCAACCGUCGAACUGCAGUUGAUACUGGAGGUCUUGAGUGCACACAGGGAUACUGGAAUUCAUGGUGUAGCGGUGAAAUGCUCAGAUAUCAUGAAGAACUCCGAUCGCGAAGGCAGGUAUCCGGGGUGCAACUGACGCUGAGGCUCGAAAGUGCGGGUAUCAAACAGGAUUAGAUACCCUGGUAGUCCGCACAGUAAACGAUGAAUACUCGCGAUUUGCGAUACACAGUAAGUCGCCAAGCGAAAGCGUUAAGUAUUCCACCUGGGGAGUACGCCGGCAACGGUGAAACUCAAAUGAAUUGACGG
rnacentral:rRNA from 1 species